rnacentral:rRNA from 1 species
UACCCGCAGCACAAGUGGUGGUCAUUAUUAUUGGGCCUAAAGCGUCCGUAGCUGGCUUGUUAGAUGCCUGGGUAAAUCGAUGCGCUCAACGUAUCGAACUCCGGGUAGACCGGCAAGCUUGGGACCGGGAGAGGCGUGAGCUACUCGAGGGGUAGGGGUAAAAUCCGUUGAUCCAUUGAAGACCACCAGUGGCGAAGGCGGCUUGCCAGAACGCGCUCGACGGUGAGGGAUGAAAGCUGGGGGAGCAAACCGG